CAGUCGCCACGGUAAUUCGAAGGGUGCAAGCGUUACUCGGAAUUACUGGGCGUAAAGCGUGCGUAGGUGGUGGUUUAAGUCCGUUGUGAAAGCCCUGGGCUCAACCUGGGAAUUGCAGUGGAUACUGGGUCGCUAGAGUGUGGUAGAGGAUAGUGGAAUUUCCGGUGUAGCAGUGAAGUGCGUAGAGAUCGGAAGGAACAUCUGUGGCGAAGGCGACUAUCUGGGCCAACACUGACACUGAGGCACGAAAGCGUGGGGAGCAAAUAGGAUUAGAUACCCCCGUAGUCCCUGUCUCUUAUAC
rnacentral:rRNA from 1 species